UAUUUAUGUAAAAAUGGUCAAAUAAGUGCCAUGAGAGAAACUAAGGCACCGGCUAAAGCUUUUUUGGCUCUGAAUCUGAAAGAGGAGCCUGAAUUCAAGACGAAAGUCCAGGAGAUGAAGAAGCGACCCAAAAAGGGACAACAAACAAGUCCAAGAGUGAUUUAUGUUGGCCAUCUUCCCACUGGGUUGUUUGAGCCUCAGCUCAAAUCCUACAUUGAACAGUUUGGAAAUGUUGUCAGGUUACAACUGGCCAGGAGUAAAAUGGAAAAAAAAACUUGGGAUCCAUUAUCUUGAAAAUGUAAGAGUGGAAUGUGUGUGUGAUGCACAGGUGUGAAGAAUGGCACCGUCUGAAAAUUACCUCAGAUGUAACAGUUGUCUGUGGUGAGAUAACUGUGCCGACAGUAUUGUGGUAAUCAGGUUCCUACUGAGGUGCAUGAGGAGUUGUUUGUGGGAUCACAGAGCGCUUUUAAGAAGCUGUAGCUCGCUACAACGAGACACACACCAGAGGAGGUCAAGGAGAUGACCGGACGACUCCUACAUAAAGAGGCCAAGCUCCGUAAAAGGCUGGCAGACAAGGGAAUCCACUACGACUUCCCAGGGUUUGCUUCUCAAGUGCAACAGAAGAAAAAUUUAGAUGACACUGUGAAUGCAUCCACGUGUAAUGAGACGUGACUCCAGUGUGAACCACCUCAGUUCUGGACAGGAGGAGGUCCAUGAAGAUCCAGGAUGAGGAUGGUGAAAUCAAGAAUACCCCCGCCCAAAAAAAGUCUAAAGGCAAAUGUAAAGAGAAAGGGGGAAACCUAGUCAGACUGUACAACUGAACGCAUUCAACUGAAUGCCUUCCGCAUUUAACCCCAACCCCUCUGAAUCAGAGAGGUGCGGGGUGCUGCUUUAAUCGAUAUCCGUGUCUUUGGCACCUGGGGAACAGCGGGUUAACUGCCUUGCUCUGGCAGAAUGACAGAUUUUUACCUUGUCUGCUCGGGAAUACGAUCGAGCAACCCAAGGAGCAGAGUCUGACUUAGAUUCCUCCUCUGAGGAAGAGGAGACUGAGGAGGAGUCCUUCCUAGAAGGGAGUGAGAAGCCCACAACGUGUGAAGAGCCCUCAGGGGACAAGAGCCAGUCAUAUAGGAAGGAGCAUAGUGAACGGAUGUCAACGCCUUGUUGUUUAAGGGACAAUGACUCAAUUGAAUUGCCUUGCUUGUAAAAAUGUAUCUGCUUUACAAGGUGGUUGGUCCUCUAUAUAAUUGCACAGAGGAGAAGGACUAGAGAGUCAAUGACUGUUUGACAGUGUUAGAGCCUAUGCACCUGUAUAGCACCUCCUAAAUUCCCAUAGCCAAGGCCUAAAAUUAACACCUGCCAAAUGUGGGUAGAUUUUGGUAUUUGCUGGUAAGAUGUUGAUUUCACCAGCCCAGUUGGGGGUGGUCAGGGCUCCACAGUGCAAGCAUUUCACUCGCAUUUGUGAAUAAAAAUAGUAGAAGUAUGAUGACAUUUAUAUAAAAUAAAUGCUGGAGUAGCUGUUUUCAAAUUA